rnacentral:rRNA from 1 species
CCCUUAGAUGUUCUGGGCGGCCCGCGCACUACAUUGGCACUCUCAAUAAGUUCCUAGAUCUAAAACUUUGGGGUAUUCUAUUAAGUGGUGUCGUGACUGGGAUUAACCCUUGCAAUUAUUGGUUACGAACGAGGAAUUCCUUGUAAUCGCGGUUUAUCAGCCCGCGUUGAAUGCGUCCCUGCCCUUUGUACACACCGCCCGUCGCUCCUACCGAUGAAUCGUCCGGUGAAGUUCAUGGAGUGGUGGUCGUUCCAGCUGCUGUCGAAGUGAAAUGGACCUCACGAUUUAGAGGAAGGAGAAGUCGUAACA